UCCCAGAUUUGAGCUAUGAUGUGUGGAGA
rnacentral:piRNA from 2 species